rnacentral:rRNA from 1 species
UGAGGAACAUGACCUUCGGCGGGGGAGUAGCCGGCCCAACGGCCGGGUAAUACCGCGUACGACCACAUGGGGACAUCCCUGAGUGGUGAAAGCAGCAAUGCGCCGAUGGAGUGCCUCGCGGCCUAUCAGCUAGUUGGUGAGGUAACGGCUCACCAAGGCGACGACGGGUAGCCGGCCUGAGAGGGCGAUCGGCCACACUGGGACUGAGACACGGCCCAGACUCCUACGGGAGCAG